rnacentral:rRNA from 1 species
GACGAACGCUGACGGUGUGCUUUAGACAUGCAAGUCGAACGCGAAAGCCCUUCGGGGUUAGUAGAGUGGCGAACGGGUGAGUAACACGUGGGCAAUCUACCCCUCGCAGGGGGACGAACCGACGGAACCCGGACCUAUACCCCGUACCGCUUGUGGGAGUCGCAUGAUCCCGCCAAGGAAAGGUAGCUUCGCCAUCCGGCGAGGGAUGAGCCCGCGGUGCAUUAGCUAGUUGGUGGGGUAACGGCCCACCAAGGCAACGAUGCAUAGCUGGUCUGAGAGGAUGAUCAGCCACAC